CCUACGGGUGGCAGCAGUGAGGAAUAUUGGUCAAUGGCCGGAAGGCUGAACCAGCCAUGCCGCGUGAAGGUCAGUGCCCUAUGGGCGUUAAACUUCUUUUGUGCGGGAGCAAUAAUGGUCACGUGUGGCCAGACGAGAGUACCGUACGAAUAAGCAUCGGCUAACUCCGUGCCAGCAGCCGCGGUAAUACGGGGGAUGCAAGCGUUAUCCGGAUUUAUAGGGUUUAAAGGGUGCGUAGGCUGUGAGGUAAGUCAGCGGUGAAAUGGCCACGGGCAACGGGGGGAAGUGCCAUUGAUACUGCCUUGCUGGAAUGCGGAUGAGGUGGGAGGAAUGUGUGGUGUAGCGGUGAAAUGCAUAGAUAUCACACAGAACACCGAUUGCGAAGGCAGCUCACGAGUCCGCGAUUGACGCUGAUGCACGAAAGCGUGGGUAUCAAACAGGAUUAGAUACCCCUGUAGUC
rnacentral:rRNA from 1 species